rnacentral:rRNA from 1 species
AGUGAACGCUGGCGGUAGGCCUAACACAUGCAAGUCGAACGGCAGCACAGUAAGAGCUUGCUCUUACGGGUGGCGAGUGGCGGACGGGUGAGGAAUACAUCGGAAUCUACUUUUUCGUGGGGGAUAACGUAGGGAAACUUACGCUAAUACCGCAUACGACCUACGGGUGAAAGCAGGGGAUCUUCGGACCUUGCGCGAUUGAAUGAGCCGAUGUCGGAUUAGCUAGUUGGCGGGGUAAAGGCCCACCAAGGCGACGAUCCGUAGCUGGUCUGAGAGGAUGGUCAGCCACACAGGAACUGAGACACGGUCCAGACUCCUACGGGAGGCAGCAGUGGGGAAUAUUGGACAAUGGGCGCAAGCCUGAUCCAGCCAUACCGCGUGGGUGAAGAAGGCCUUCGGGUUGUAAAGCCCUUUUGUUGGGAAAGAAAAGCAGCAGGUUAAUACCCCGCUGUUCUGACGGUACCCAAAGAAUAAGCACCGGCUAACUUCGUG